rnacentral:rRNA from 1 species
GUAGGUGGCAAGCGUUGUCCGGGAAUUAUUGGGGCGUAAAGCGCGCGCAGGCGGUUCUUUAAGUCUGAUGUGAAAGCCCACGGGCUCAACCGUGGAGGGUCAUUGGAAACUGGAGAACUUGAGUACAGAAGAGGAAAGCGGAAUUCCACGUGUAGCGGUGAAAUGCGUAGAGAUGUGGAGGAACACCAGUGGCGAAGGCGGCUUUCUGGUCUGUAACUGACGCUGAGGCGCGAAAGCGUGGGGAGCAAACAGGAUUAGAUACCCUGGUAGUCCACGCCGUAAACGAUGAGUGCUAAGUGUCAGGGGGUUUCCGCCCCUUAGUGCUGCAGCUAACGCAUUAAGCACUCCGCCUGGGGAGUACGGCCGCAAAGGCUG